rnacentral:rRNA from 1 species
AGCGUAUAUUAAAGUUGUUGCAGUUAAAAAGCUCGUAGUUGAAUUUCGGGAUCAAUAUGCCGGUCAUGCCUUGGUAUGCACUGGUAUCUUUGAUUUCUCCCUUCUGACGAACUUUGAUGUCAUUAAUUUGGUGUCAUAGGGAAUCAGGACUGUUACUUUGAAAAAAUUAGAGUGUUUAAAGCAAGCUCACGCUUGAAUACAUUAGCAUGGAAUAAUGAAAUAGGACGUUUGAUUCUAUUUUGUUGGUUUCUAGGAUCGACGUAAUGAUUAAUAGGGAUAGUUGGGGGCAUUAGUAUUCAAUUGUCAGAGGUGAAAUUCUUGGAUUUAUUGAAGACUAACUACUGCGAAAGCAUUUGCCAAGGAUGUUUUCAUUAAUCAAGAACGAAAGUUAGGGGAUCGAAGACGAUCAGAUACCGUCGUAGUCUUAACCAUAAACUAUGCCGACUAGGGAUCGGAUGAUGUUAAUUUUUUAAUGACUCAUUCGGCGCCUUACGGGAAACAAAA